AAGUCACAACUAUCUGAGGCCGGUCAAUAAUAAUGUAGGCAACAACACAAGUUAGAAGUCUUGAUUAGUGAAUCAAGUUCCAACAACUUGCCAUGCCAAAAGAAAAAGAGAAUUGAUCUUGUAUUGGUUUAAGUCCUUUGCAUGAUUUAGGAAACAACCUAUCCUUAAUGCAAAGCCAUUCACUUGAUCAAUUGAUCAAGAUGAAUUAGAUUUGGAUCAAGGAAGAUUAAGUCUCCAUAAUCAAUGCUAACUUAUCAACCUUCAACUCAUUGAUCAAAAAGAAAAAGAAAAAGAAUAAGAAGAAAGAGAUGAAUAAUGGAAAAGGAAAA
rnacentral:lncRNA from 1 species